rnacentral:rRNA from 1 species
GACGAACGCUGGCGGCGUGCUUAACACAUGCAAGUCGAACGAUGAACCCGGAGCUUGCUCCGGUGGAUUAGUGGCGAACGGGUGAGUAACACGUGAGUAACCUGCCCUUGACUCUGGGAUAACUGCGGGAAACUGUAGCUAAUACCGGAUACGACCCUCGGCGGCAUCGCCAGGGGGUGGAAAGAAUUUCGGUCAAGGAUGGAGUCGCGGCCUAUCAGCUAGUUGGUGAGGUAACGGCUCACCAAGGCGACGACGGGUAGCCGGCCGGCGAGGGUGACCGGCCACACUGGGACUGAGACGCGGCACAGACUGCUACGGGGGGCAGCAGUGGGGAAUAUUGCACAAUGGGCGCAAGCCUGAUGCAGCAACGCCGCGUGACGGAUGACGGCCUUCGGGUUGUAAACCUCUUUUAGUAGGGAAGAAGCGAAAGUGACGGUACCUGCAGAAAAAGCACUGGCUAACUACGUGCCAGCCGCCGCCGUAA